GUUUUUGGGGCUGGAGCUGCCUUGCUUGUGGGUGUUAGCCAUGGUGGUGUGUGGAGUGUGUCCGUGAUGGACUGGAGUGGUGGUGUUGCAGGCAUCGCCUGAGUGUGUGAUUUCUCUCUGUGCUUGCAGGUUUUGCGGGAAGUUGUGGAGAGAAGCAGCUGAGUGCUGAGAAGAGCCUGAGCAGGUCUGCUGUGGGCCUUUCCCAGGCGUGGCUGAGACUUUCAGGUGCCACUGGCUUCCUCCCCAGGCAUUGGAGUUGUUGUGGUGCAGGUGAUGAAGGCAAAUGUGGUGAGCAAAGGAAGAUCAGUGUGGAUGCGGCUGCUGCUGAGGAUGGCUCUUGAGGACCGGUGACCUACAGCAGUGCCACAGUUAAGUUGAGGGGCAAAG